AACGAACGCUGGCGGCAUGCCUAACACAUGCAAGUCGAACGAGACCUUCGGGUCUAGUGGCGCACGGGUGCGUAACGCGGGGGAACCUGCCCUUAGGUUCGGAAUAACUCCCCGAAAGGGGUGCUAAUACCGGAUAAUGUCUUCGGACCAAAGAUUUAUCGCCUUUGGAUGGGCCCGCGUUGGAUUAGCUAGUUGGUAGGGUAAAAGCCUACCAAGGCGACGAUCCAUAGCUGGUCUGAGAGGCUGAUCAGCCACACUGGGACUGAGACACGGCCCAGACUCCUGCGGGAGGCAGCAGUGGGGAAUAUUGGACUAUGGGCGAAAGCCUGAUCCAGCAAUGCCUCGUGAGUGAUGAAGGCCUUAGGGUUGUAAAGCUCUUUUACCCGGGAUGAUAAUGACAGUACCGGGAGAAUAAGCUCCGGCUAACUCCGUG
rnacentral:rRNA from 1 species